rnacentral:lncRNA from 10 species
UAGUAGUGCGAAUUUGGAAAUUGCGUAAAUUAUACAACUGUUAAAAGAAAAACUUCAGCCAAUUAAAAGAGUUUAUUUGAGAAAUGAACCAUUCACAAAUUGGGCAGUCCCCAGAAUCACAGCAGGCUCAGAGAGACUCCAGGGUUUCCUUGUGGUCAGAAAAAAAUUAUAGUCAAAAAAAGGGAAAUGACAUACAAAAAUCAGCAGUGAGGUACAGAACAGCUGGAUUGGUUACAGGUUGGUGUUUGCCUUAUUUGAACACCGUUUGAACACUCAGCAGUGCAUGAAUGGUUGAAGAAUGGCUGCUGGGAUUGGCCAGGUCUCAGCUAUUGUUACAGGCGCAUAUUCUUAUGUUCGGUUCUCAAUCUUGUCUACCUAUUAAGUUAGGUUACAGUUCAUCCACAAGGACUCAAAUAUAGAAGUACGGAGUCCUUCUCAGGCCAUAUUUAAUUAACCUUAACUAUUCUCCCCUUUUAGUCAUUUUCUCAAUUUUCAGAGAUUGACCAAAAUUUUAGUCAUUGAUGUCAUUAUCACCAAGGUAAAUGUACUAUUCAGCCUUGAAGCCCACUGGGGAACAGUAGAACAGUGAGUUUUGCGAAGGUAGGAACAAGGACUGAGUAGAGGGUAGCUCCUUAUGCUGGAACAUCCAUCAUUUUGGGUUUCUCGCCUCAGCACGUCAUUCAUAGGUUAUGGUGUCCCCAUGGUUGCAGAUUCCUUUCAGUUCUUGUCAUUCCAGUUGAAGACAGACCAUUUGACAUUCUAGAGAUGCAUUGGGCCUUCAUCUUUUAUCUAUCAAAGUAUAAGGUUAUCCAUGAAUAAGGCUGGCUGCAAAAUCCUUCACAAAUAAAAGUAUAUUCUGUAAGUGCAAAUAACAGACCCCCUUUUCACUUCUAUUGUUCAUAGAGGUAUAAGCAAGGAAAAAAAAUAUUUGAAGAUAAGAGUCUUGAUCCGUGAUCUUGGGAAAAGCUGUUCACAUCAAGGAUGGCAUCUUCGUCUGGGGAGA